AGUGAACGCUGGCGGUAGGCCUAACACAUGCAAGUCGAACGGCAGCACAGUAAGAGCUUGCUCUUACGGGUGGCGAGUGGCGGACGGGUGAGGAAUACAUCGGAAUCUACUUUUUCGUGGGGGAUAACGUAGGGAAACUUACGCUAAUACCGCAUACGACCUACGGUUGAAAGCAGGGGAUCUUCGGACCUUGCGCGAUUGAAUGAGCCGAUGUCGGAUUAGCUAGUUGGCGGGGUAAAGGCCCACCAAGGCGACGAUCCGUAGCUGGUCUGAGAGGAUGAUAAGCCACACUGGAACGGAGACACGGUCCAGACUCCUACGGGAGGCAGCAGUGGGGAAUAUUGGACAAUGGGCGCAAGCCUGAUCCAGCCAUACCGCGUGGGUGAAGAAGGCCUUCGGGUUGUAAAGACCUUUUGUUGGGAAAGAAAAGCAGCAGGUUAAUACCCCGCUGUUCUGACGGUACCCAAAGAAUAAGCACCGGCUAACUUCGUG
rnacentral:rRNA from 1 species